rnacentral:rRNA from 1 species
GAACGGGAUAGAUACCCCGGUAGUCCCAGCCGUAAACGAUGCAGGCUAGGUGUCGGGAUGACCACGAGUCAUCCCGGUGCCGCAGGGAAGCCGUUAAGCCUGCCACCAGGGGAGUACGGCCGCAAGGCUGAAACUUAAAGGAAUUGGCGGGGGAGCACCACAAGGGGUGAAGCUUGCGGUUCAAUUGGAGUCAACUCCGGGAACCUUACCAGGGGAGACAGCGGGAUGAAGGCCAGAUUGAAGGUCUUGCCGGACUAGCUGAGAGGAGGUGCAUGGCCGUCGCCAGUUCGUGCCGUGAGGUGUUCUCUUAAGUGAGACAACGAACGAGACCCGCGCCCUUAGUUGCUACCGGGAUCCGCGAGGAUCCCGGGCACACUAAGGGGACCGCCUCCGCUAAGGAGGAGGAAGGGGCGGGCUACGGCAGGUCAGUAUGCCCCGAAUCCUCUGGGCCACACGCGAGCUGCAAUGGCUGGGACAGAGGGUUCCGACCCCGAGAGGGGGAGGCAAUCCCUAAACCCAGCCUCAGUUGGGAUCGAGGGCUGCAACUCGCCCUCGUGAACAUGGAAUCCCUAGUAACCGCGCGUCAUCAUCGCGCGGUGAAUACGUCCCUGC